AACGAACGCUGGCGGCAGGCUUAACACAUGCAAGUCGAACGGGUGUAGCAAUACAUCAGUGGCAGACGGGUGAGUAACACGUGGGAACCUUCCUAGAGGUACGGAACAACUCAGGGAAACUUGAGCUAAUACCGUAUACGCUCUUGCGAGGAAAGAUUUAUCGCCUUUAGACGGGCCCGCGUCGGAUCAGCUAGUUGGUGGGGUAACGGCCUACCAAGGCGACGAUCCGUAGCUGAUCUGAGAGGAUGAUCAGCCACACUGGGACUGAGACACGGCCCAGACUCCUACGGGAGGCAGCAGUGGGGAAUCUUGGACAUGGGCGCAAGCCUGAUCCAGCCAUGCCGCGUGAGUGAAGAAGGCCUUCGGGUUGUAAAGCUCUUUUGUCAGGGACGAUAAUGACGGUACCUGAAGAAUAAGCCCCGGCUAACUACGUGCCAGCCGCCGCGGUAAUAC
rnacentral:rRNA from 1 species